rnacentral:tRNA from 1 species
CAGAAAAUAGUUUAAUAAAAAUUUUGGUUUUGGAUACCAAUGAUGACUAUGUCUUUUCUGA